UUACUUCCGGUCCUCCUUGGUGCUUCCUGCCCCAUGCAAGGUCAAGAGAAACAGCGACCUGGAAUCCCCGUCUGUAAAACCUAUGCCAAGAGCUGGGGAUAAAGGAAAAGAAAGUGCAGGUGUUUAAAGGAGCAUGGAGGAGGAAACUGAGGCCCAGAGACUGAAAGGGAGAUGUUCCUGUGUACUCAGUGGUGACUCAGUCCCAGAGUCUGGACCAGGGAGUUCGGUGACAAGUCAUGCCUGACGCCAGAAGACAUACAGCAAAGGGCCUGGAGAGAUGGUUGAGCAGUUCAGCGCACAGGCUAUUUUGUUCUUCUCGAGGUCACGAGUUUAAGCCCCAGAACCACAUGGUAGCUCACAGCCAUCUGUAAUGGAAUCCAGUGUUCUCUUCUGGUGUGCAGGUGUACAUGCAUCCAAAGCACUCUUACAUAAAUAAACCCUUAAAAUUUUUA